GACAGAGGGUGCAAACGUUGCUCGGAAUCACUGGGCGUAAAGGGCGCGUAGGCGGGAAUGUAAGUCGGGCGUGAAAUCCCUAGGCUCAACCUAGGAACUGCACUCGAAACUGCGUUUCUUGAGUAUCGGAGAGGAAAGCGGAAUUCCUGGUGUAGCGGUGAAAUGCGCAGAUAUCAGGAGGAACACCAAUGGCGAAGGCAGCUCGCUGGGACGGUACUGACGCUGAGACGCGAAAGCGUGGGGAGCAAACAGG
rnacentral:rRNA from 1 species